CUAGAAAGGGCCAGAGCAGUGGCGCCUCCAGAAAGCCCAGCUCCACCAGGACUGAAAUGCCCUAAGGGGAACACCUGUGAAGGGGGUGGCCAGGAGGUGGGGAUAGGCUUAAUCCCCACCUAAAUGUGGCCUGCCCCGCUCCCACGGAGUUCCCCCACCAACCAGAGGGCACUCUGCAAGGAUGAAGGCGCUGCUGUGAAUGUCCCAAGGCCUCAGAAGGGACUUCCCUGGUGGCGCAGUGUUUAAGACUCUGUGCUCCAAUGGAGAGGGCCCAGGUUCAAUCCCUGGUCAGGGAACUAGAUCCCACAUGUGUGCUGCACCUAACAGUUCGCAUGCCACAAAUAAGGAGCCAGCAAGUCGCAACUAAGGAGCCCUCGAGCCGCAACUAAAACCAAGUGCAAC